rnacentral:SRP_RNA from 1 species
GCCGGGCAGAGUGGUGCGUGCCUGUAGUCCCAGCUACUCAGGAGGCUGAAGUGGGAGGAUCCCUUGAGCCCAGGAGCUCUGGGCUGUAGUGCACUAUGCUAAUAGGGUGUCCGCGCUAAGUUUGGCAUCAAUAUGGUGACCUCUGGGGAGCGGGGGGCACCAGGUUGCCUAAGGUGGGGUGAACCGGACCAGGUUGGAAACAGAGCAGGUCAAAACUCCCGUGUUGAUCAGUAGUGGGAUCAAACCUGUGAAUAGCCACUGCACUCCAGCCUGGGCGACAUAGCAAGACCCUAUCUCU